rnacentral:rRNA from 1 species
GAUGAAGGCCUUCGGGUUGUAAACUCCUUUCGGCCGGGAUGAUAAUGACGGUACCGGUGGAAGAAGCUCCGGCUAACUUCGUGCCAGCAGCCGCGGUAAUACGGAGGGGGCGAGCGUUGUUCGGAAUUAUUGGGCGUAAAGGGUGCGUAAGCGGUUUUGUAAGUCUGGUGUGAAAUCUCUGGGCUCAACUCGGAGGCUGCCCGCGAAACUGCAGUGCUUGAGUGUGGGAGAGGUGAGUGGAAUUCCCGGUGUAGCGGUGAAAUGCGUAUAUAUCGGGAGGAACACCUGUGGCGAAAGCGGCUCACUGGACCAUUACUGACGCUGAGGCACGAAAGCUUGGGGAGCAAACAGGAUUAGAUACCCUGGUAGUCCUAGCCCUAAACGAUGAUUGCUUGGUGUGA